AGGGAAUAGAUACCCGGGUAGUCCACGCCCUAAACGAUGUCGACUGGUUGUUGGGGGUUUGACACUCUCAGUAAACGAAAGCUAAACGCGUGAAAGUCGACCGCCUGGGGAGUACGGCCGCAAGGUUAAAACUCAAAGGAAUUGACGGGGACCCGCACAAGCGGUGGAUUAUGUGGAUUAAUUCGAUGCAACGCGAAAAACCUUACCUACCCUUGACAUGUCCGAGAGCCCGCUGAGAGGCGGGUGUGCCCGAAAGGGAAUCGGAACACAGGUGCUGCAUGGCUGUCGUCAGCUCGUGUCGUGAGAUGUUGGGUUAAGUCCCGCAACGAGCGCAACCCUUGCCAUUAGUUGCCACCCGUAAGGGGGCACUCUAAUGGGACUGCCGGUGACAAACCGGAGGAAGGUGGGGAUGACGUCAAGUCCUCAUGGCCCUUAUGGGUAGGGCUUCACACGUAAUACAAUGGCGCGUACAGAGGGUUGCCAAGGAGCGAUCUGGAGCCAAUCCCGUAAAGCGCGUCGUAGUCCGGAUUGCAGUCUGCAACUCGACUGCAUGAA
rnacentral:rRNA from 1 species